rnacentral:tRNA from 1 species
GCUCACCCUUUCUUUCUCUUUCUGGGACUCUCUAUUUUCGCUUUCAACUAAUUCUGUUCGGGAACCUGUCUUC